rnacentral:lncRNA from 1 species
UCGUGUUGCUCCAGAAGAACACCCAGUCCUGUUAACUGAGGCUCCUCUUAACCCUAAGGCUAAUCGUGAGAAGAUGACCCAAAUCAUGUUUGAGACUUUUAAUACCCCUGCCAUGUAUGUAGCUAUUCAGGCCGUUCUUUCACUGUACGCCAGUGGUCGUACCACCGGUGAGUCAUUUUUCAGUUGUUCGAUUAGCAGCUAUAUCAUGUUUUAUGUGCCAUUUUCAAUAUGUCACAUGUCAUAAUAGACUUUUUGAAGUUUACUUACUUACCUUCUCUAUGCAGGUAUUGUGUUGGAUUCUGGUGAUGGUGUCAGCCACACUGUCCCUAUCUACGAGGGUUAUGCCCUUCCACAUGCCAUCCUUCGUCUUGAUCUGGCUGGUCGCGACCUGACUGAUUUCUUGAUGAAGAUUUUGACUGAGCGUGGUUAUUCUUUUACCACGUCAGCAGAGCGUGAAAUUGUUCGUGAUGUGAAAGAAAAGCUGUCAUACAUUGCC